ensembl:lncRNA
GACAUUAGCUGUCUGGGUCACAGUCCAUCCUCUUGCUCCCUUCCUUUUUCCCUUCCCAUCCCCAGUGAGGACAAGCAUAGCCCCCAAGCCCCUGCAUCCAGGCAAAGCUAGGAACCUUGGAUAUAUUGGAUGAUCCACAGCUUUAAACACAGUCUCCUGGCUUCUUUGGCAACACAACUCCUUCAAAAACUUGGGCUUCUAGGAGAUUUCCUUCUAGCCAAUUCCACGUAGUAAGUGCACAUAGAAUUUUCUUCUGAGUUGUAAUUCUCUACCCCGUCUAAGCUGGCUUGGCUUGCUAGUGCUGUUCUUUCUCAACUUAACGGUGGCUACCAUGGAGUUCUCUUUCUCUGGCUUAGUAGAAAGGUGUAGUCCCUGAAAUGAUUUUUCUUUGCCUCAGGACUGUGCUUAGCUGAGAAGAAAGACAGAUUAUGUGCAAUGAAGCCCAAUCACAUUCUCUCACUCUCUCUCUCUCUCUCUCUCUCUCUCUCUCUCUCUCAAAAAAAUGUGUGUCUGAGAAAGAAAUCUUUAUUGUUAUGAGUCUCUGCAAUUUGGAGAUUAUUACAAUAGUUAGUGGCCCCUCACUAACACAGUAUUUCAUUUUGUAUGGAGAGGUAAAGGCAGCCCAAAGAGAGAAGUGGGUCCUAAGAGAGGUCCUUUGUUUCUGAUUCUAUUCCAUUUCCUUCUCACAGACUAGUUCUUCCAAUUAGUUCUUCAUUGCAUUUACCUUUAUCUUUUGGUGUCUUGCUGGAUGCAGUCCACAGGCAGCACUGGGGCCAAUAUUCUGUUUUCUGUUUCCAUGCUCUUCCCCUGGGCAUGGAUGACUUCCAGGUUAUGACAGGCAGCCCUGGGAUCCAAUAUCCAAGCACAGAUGCCCGAUUUCAUAGUUUGCCAUCUCUCCUCUCUAGCCAGCUUCAUAUGGUCAUUGUUUUACAUCACAAGCUCUCAACCUGUGAGUCUUGACCCUUGCUGGGGGUGUUGAAAGACCCUUUCACAGGAGUCACAUAUCAGAUAUUUAUAAAAGUGGCAAAAUUACACUUAUAAAGCAAUAAGAAAAUAAUUUUAUGGUGGUGGUGGGGGUCACCACAACAUGAGGAACUGUAUAUUAAAGGGUCACGGCCUUAGGAAGGUUGAAAACCACUGUUUUAAAGGAAGUUUUCCACUCCAAGAAAAACAAAAUUCUUGUAUUACUCAAGGAGGGGAAAUGCUGAAACAAAUAGCUGUCAAAGCUCAGUGAAUACAAAAUUAAAUGUCUGUUUCUUCAUGUCAUGGUGUGCUAUUGAUUGGCUUAGGGGUGAAGACGGAAGAAGCAAGAACCAUGUUCCACACUGUCACUCAAGGUCCCAGGCUCCUUCCAUUGGGUGCAUGCAGAAUUGGAUAAAGCACUGGACUCCCUGGUGAUUUGGGCAUUUGGUUAGCAGGAAAUCCCAAGGUGCCAGCAACCUGGAGACAAAGACCCGAUAAGGUUUUUAUUAUGCCAUACAGCUGGACCCAAUGGAAGCCAAAGGUGAGUCAGCUAGGCUGACAGCCCAAAGAAUCUCCUCCCAAGGCACAGGGAAGGGUGGAGAAAGGUGGAGGGUGGGCCUGAGGACCAAGUAGAGAAUGUCCAGGACACCUUGUAUCACACGCAUCUGCCAUGCAGGGCACCUGGAUGCCUCCACCUUCCCAAAGACCAGGUGAAGGAGGAAAGAGAGAGAUCACUGCAGCAGACAGGGUGAAAUUCACACUUGAGGCACAUCAGAGGGACACUGUCCUACUGCCCAACCUGCAAGCCAUGGAGGCCACACAGCUGCUUUCAGGGAGCCUUGACUUGGGCCACUGGUGCCAGCGCUCCUCCCAUUGUAGCUGAGGAAUGGCUGGUGCUGUGUCCUUGACUGAAUGCCCUUGUCCUCCUGCUCUGGGCUUUGUCCCCAUUGCUACAGACCAUGACUCCUAAGUUCCUUCCUGGGCUGUGAUCAUCACUAAGCCCUUUCUGGGGCCAGCCUCUUUCAGGCUCACAGGAACAUCCCAAGGUCACAUCCCCAGCAUUCAGCUGGCUGCCCUAGAUCUCAUUUCUCAAUCUGCUCCUAACCUGUGCUACAGAGCUCCUGCUGUGAUGGGAUAGAAGGGAAAAUUGUGGGGACCUGGAAGGGAACGUAGCCAUUACCUUAGAGUCUGAUUGAAGACUCUCAGCAGGUGAGUGUCAAGAAUCCCAACACAGUUAACACUUGCUUAAACUGUCCAGCCAAAACAACAUUUCUCAACUCAAAGGGAAUAAGAGAGCCUAUUCUGGAGUAAAAGCAUGAGUGACUGUGGUCCAGAACACAGAGCUGGGUUACCACAGGUUCCAUGCCCCAGUGUGGAAACAGUUUCAUGGAGCUUUUAUAGUCACAGCACAAAGAAAAUUAUAAAUCAAGGUGGUUUUAAAAUGCAUCUGUUGAAACAUUAAGUAGGCAGAGAACAGUGGGGAGAUUGCAGCUGUAGGCAAUAGAUGUUAUCUGAUAGCAUUCUUAGCCCUUGAUUAGUGGAGAACAGAGUUCUGUCAAGUUACUAUAUUGCAAAGGUUUUAACCUGUUCAUAGGCUAUCAGGCCCGGCUAAUAGUAGGACAUUAGGUCUGGUGCAGCCAGGGUUAGGAAUGGCUGUUUAUUACGCUGAUAAGCACAUAAAUUGUAAUUAGGGUUGAAACAACAAGAUUCCAACCUCUCCAUGUCUUUGAAGUUUUAAUUAGUUAAUCAGCCAGGGUAAACAGUUUCUUUCCAGGAAUUCUCAUUCACAAGGCCGUUCUCCUUUCAGAAGCCAGCUGUGGACCAACAAUUUUCCAGGAACCUCACGAGAAAGCCUAUUUACAGUAAAAGAUGUGUCGGAAACUUCCACCUAACCCGAGUGGCUCCUGGUUUCACACUGUCAGAUUACGGUCCCAUCCAAGAGUUAGAGUCACCCUGUAAUCUCACUUAUCACAAGAGUAGGACAAGAACAUUUUCAGAUGUAACUUGAGAGCCAGCAAAAUGGUGUACAUGGCUAAUGCCAAGAGGCAUUUAGUUGUGUCUGAGGAGCUCCAUAGUGAGUGCUCUUGGAUGUAUCUUAUUCUUUCCCAGGACACCUCUCUUGGUUAACCAGGCUUAAAAUCUAUGUUAGAGAUCUUUUAACAUAGAUAAAUUAAGCUGGAAGUGACCUGAAACUUUCCCCCUAAUGACUAGCUUUCCUAGUGAUAAAAGGUGCUCUGAAGGCUACUGUGGGAGAAAAGACAUCAGUGGCAUCCUGUAGCCAACACUGCAUGUUACAUAUAAUGCCAGACAAGAUGUUCCAACUGAGGCAGUUGUGGCAUGAAUGCUGUAGAGGUAACAACUGCCUCUGAUUUGGAUUUAAGGCUUGCUCCUCAGGAAGGAAUUCAAGCCUGGUACCAUUAACCUGGCCAAAAGCCUGUGGCUCAAGAAAUUACAGGCCCUAGGGAGGAACCCAUUACUGUCAUUUUUUUCUAAAUGGACACAAUUGUCAACCACUUUCUAAAUGUUUAUGUUUAUACACACAGUACUGCCCUCAACCUUAAUUCGAGAAGCUUCUCUCUGUAGUGGUCGGCAGUUAACUGGUCAAAGUGCUGAGAGUAUAUGUCUACUGAAGGCUUAUUCCUAAAUGGGACAUCUAUAUCAAACACCUUCCCACCACCAUGAGACUCGGGGAACAUUGAAGAAGGGUGGAAAGAAGGUAAGAGCCAGAGGAUGAGGAAGAUGGCUAUGAAAAGCUGUCUUUGGGACACAAUGUAGCCACUAUACCCAUGAACUCACUGCAGAAUCGGUUAGCUGCACAAGAUCUGGACAAGAUCAAGCCAACAAGAUCACUCACCAUUCCAACUCCAAUGCUAAUGGGAUUUGGUGGGUUGUUAAAAAGAAAGGAAAGACAUACAGACAGGAGAGUGACAUGUUGGGUGCUCCUGGGGGAGUGGGAAUGGGGAGUCAGGGAUGCACAAAGAUACAUUGUUUAUACCUAUGCAAUUAUCAAAGAAUAAGUAAAACAUAUUCUAUUAAAAUACCUUCUAGUAAACUACAACUUUUCUUUGAGAAGUUCACAGCCAUGAUGUAGGCCCCUUUCCCCUCUCCCUAAUUGCCUUUUUUUUCUAUUUUCUUUUUUAUUUGUUUAUUUUCUUUGAGACAGAGUCUCACUGUGUACCUCUGGCUAGAGUGGAACUUCCUAUGUAGACUAGGCUGGGCUGUAAAAUUCACAGAGACUCUCCUGCCUCUGCCUCCCAAGAGUCAAGAUUAAAGGCUUGACCACCACAACCACCUUCCUAGUUUUAAUAAACUCCUACUACGCUUCAUACUGGCUGGUCCUGAAAUUCUUUUCUGCUUUGAAACUGAUCGUCCAGUUUUACCUGAGCUGAGGUCCCUAAAAUAUUAAAGGAACUCCUCAAGCCGCAGCAGGUGACGGUGGGGCUGUAUCUCUGUCUCUACCUUUAGUGCCAUCAGCACUCACUCCACUAGGAAUACCUUGCCCAUUUCCACUUGCCAACACCUAGCUUCUCCUAACCCACUAGCUUCUCCAGAACACCCUUCCCUCCUCUUCCGUUUCUGCCAGGUCCCAGCCUGGUAGAGGCUGUUAGUUGCCCAUCUAGCCCUGUAUUCCCUUCCUUACCAUGUGUUUUCCCAGUGGGUCUUCAUAGUGUUCUUCCUAUACCUGGUACUCAACAUGAUGGAGCUUCUAAUCAGCCUAGCCAGGGGACAUAAAGUAAUCAAGUAACCACACAGAGAACUGCACAUUUUAUCAGGGACAUGAGCUGCUGAGGAGUGGAACCCGUAGCCCAGACAGAGAGUAUAACCAGGGAAUUACCCGAGCCACUCCAAGCAGGGAAACCUCCUUCAAGGAAAUGUCACUGAGGUGAGAGCCUAGGGAGGAUCCAGGAAAGUUAAUCUGGGGAAGAGGUGAAGGAAAGAUAUUUCGCAGAGGGCGGGGUUCAUGGGAAAGCCUCUUGUCAACAUCUCCUCUGUUGCUGUCUUCUACCUGAAGCGUUCACUGUGAUCUCUUUGAGGCCAUUUGCUUCUGGUUUUAUCUACACUCAGCCUACGGACUGUUCUUGUAGGGACUCAAGAAACCCCUAAGCUGAGUUACAUUGCACUGAACCCUCGGUCUCCAGUCAGGACACAAGCAGCCAGCUAAGCCUUCAUUGCCUUUCUGAGCUUAGUCACAGGGCACAGGGAACUUCUCACUAGCUGCCUCCAUCACAAGCCACACACAGCCCUCAAGAGACAUGUGCAGACUCAGCCCCUCUGAGCCACCACAGGUGUCAUCUGUGGCUCACAAUAAUAAUUGCCAGGGCAUUACAAGAAGGAACUGAGGGCAGGGCCAGAGCAGAGAGCACUUGCUAGACAUUGUCCUUGCAAAGAGUGACUAGAGGAUGCCAUCUACUCUGGUGACCCACAUAGAAGAUCAACUUCAGCUUUGAGAAGUCCUCAGACCCUAACAGGCAAAAUCCUCACCUCAAGGCUACAGGGUCAGAGACAGAGCUCAGCGUCCCAGGACACAGGGAGACACUAAGGCUCCCAUUCAAGUCAGAACCAUCCAGAUCAUGAGUGUUUAGGCUUUGUAUUUGACAAGAUGACUGUCGCCUAAAAAGGUGUGCUUUAGGGCAUCAGGGAGCCUCAAAUAAGCACACCAUAUAUAUAUAUAUAUAUAAAUAUAUAUAUAUAUAUAUAUAUAUAUAUAUCCUGAGUGUGUAAGGAAGGGGGGCAGAUUGGAGCUGGCUCUUCUUCUGGGGUUAGCACUAGGAACAGUUGUCCUAAAACCUAAAACCUGAUAGCUGGGUCAGAUUGGGGGGUAGGGUGGGUCAGGGCUCCUCAUAUUGGAAGGCAAGUAACAGGAUGCAGGUCUGUCCCUCAAAAUAUCAAUGUGCUCUUCCCAUGUCACUGGACUGGUAGCCAAUAACCAGGCUUCCCAGCUAAGACAAGGCUGAGGGGCUUGAAUUCACGAGAGCCCAAUGGAUGGCCUGCUUGCAACUAGUGCAAGGUAACCCCAAGCCUCCUAUUUCUCUGAUUACCUCCCAGACAACCCCAAGUUUAGCUCAAAGUUGCAGUAAUGAUCACCACCAAUUUCACUGUCCCUCAGGCACUUGUGCUAGCUAGCCAUUCUGUCCUCUUCCUCCUUCCUAGAGAAUUCUAGACUAUGCUCAUGUGCGCCCUGAAGUUUCUGCUCCCUCCCAGCACCUACCAAGUCCCAGUUCUCCAUAGGACCAGAGAUAAAAAUGACACAAUCACAUAGCUGGGGAGCAUCCUUCACUCGCAAAGCCUGGCUUGUGGUUACAUGUGUACCAGUCGGCUUAGUCCCCCUGAACUCACCUCAGAGUGUCACACAGGUGGGUCCCCAUCAGCCCUUCCUUUCCCUGUUCUGAGAACCAAUGAACCUGAAGGUGAGCAGCAAAGGCUUAGCCCUGGGUGCCCAGUGGCCUGGUAGGUCCAUCAGCAUUCAGGAAGCUGUGAGUUACAGUGACAGAGAAGCCAUCCCUGCAGUCCUGGAGUCUAUCCCACUGAGGAGCUGGAGGCCUCCUUGUCACCAGAAGAGCAGAGUUGGGAGGAGGCAGUGACUUUGGGGCUGUCAGCAUUCCCAGGGAUUAUGAAUCCCUAGAAAGACUGCACUGAGGUCACUGCUCAGGGGAAAACAUACAACUUCAACCAAGGCUGACUCCUGGCAGUCGCUCUGGCUGGAGAAGCAGAGGGCAUUUAUCAAGAGGGAAGCAGCAGCCAGAGCUCUUUUAUGGCUGCUUCUCCCGAGAGAGGGCACAUCUAAGCUGCCUCCUUCAGCUUCCUUUGCUUUCUGGUUUGCCUUGGGAUGUCCCCAUUCUGGGCAGAGGCUGGCCCUCAACCCUCUCUUCUAGUGUAAUGGGAGAACAGUCUAAUAGUGGUGACAUCAAGGAGAGGGGACUGUGGGUGGGUGGUUUGCAGCAAGGCAGAAAGCUGCUCUGUGAGUCACACUUUCUUUGGGGGGACAGGGGUCUUCUCCAUCUAUGAAACUAUUCUUCCCUGCCACAAUCCAGGGCAGGUGAGUAAUGGGGUUCCCGAGACAGUCACAGCUUUAUUCUGCUGUUACCACAUUCAGGCCCCUUGCUGGAUACUAAUGAUCCAUUAAUCUUCCUGACUGUGCUGGGAAAUGGUUUCUGUUCUCAUUUAAAACUUGGGGGAAUCUGUGGCAAAGAGAUAUUAAAUAAUUUGUCUAAGAUUACACAGAUUAAAAAGUAUGUCUUGAACUCAGGACCACCCAUCUCCAAAGCGGCUGCUUCAGAUACUCAGAACCACCCCACAAGGGGCUAGGGAUCCACAAGCGAGGCCAUGAGGAGGUCACUUUCCCCUUCAGGAAAAGUGAGCAAGUAACUGCAGAGAGAAUCCAUCUCAGGACACCUUGACAAGUGCUUAGAUGCCUUUGACCGGAGAGAGUGGUAAAUGUCUGCAGAAAAGCAUUGUGGGAACAGACAGGCACCAGACCUGCAGGGGCCAAGAUCUUCCGGAGGCUGUGUUGAUGUGGUGACAUUGGACGGGGGAGCCAUUGUUGGAGUCACAAGGCCUUGGCUUGUUCUACCUAAUGAUGUCAUUUCUGGCAGUGGGUCUACCUCCCUGUCUCUAGGACUCAGUGUUCAGUUCCAUAUAAGAAAUGAUUUUUCAUUUUUGCAACGGGAUAAGGCGGUGUAGUCUUCCUUUGCACUUCUGAGGGGAGGGAGUAAGUGUGGAUAAAACUCAGCCCAGUUCUUACCAGAUAUCCGCUGUUUCACCCAGCUUUUCACUGCCAACUCGGCCUGAUGGCUCUCUUCCCAGUUUCCCAAUCACAGACCUUGGAUUCCUUGUAAAUUCCUGGGCAGAAUUCACAGAAUGAACAGCCAGUGGGUCACUGGGCAAAGCCUCUAACCGGAUCCCUUAUCGUCCUCCUGCUUGUAAGAGCCACACUUGUUUUGUUUGGGCUUUUAGUGUGUUCCAGCCUGGGUGGACCAACAGGAACAGGCUGACUGACUCACAGAUUUUCUAUGUGGCUGUUUGCUUGGGGCGACAAAGACCAGUUUCUGGAAGGUUCAGCACAUCUGCAUGGGAGGGAGAUUAAGUCUAGAAGUGAAGCCCAAGCACCUUGUGCUUUGCCUUGUUGAUGACGGGAUCUUUCCUGCUCUAUCCCGAGCAAGUGUGUCCCUUCGUGGGUAGAGAACUUAUUACCGCUUCGGGAUGGAGAGAGGCAGCUCCUUUGUGUUUCCACAGCCGUACUGUACCCACUCCAACAGACACUUCCUGGGAAAUCAGGACCCUUUGUCUAGCUUAGCCUGCAAGGGGCUCAGCAGUAAGUCCUGGGCACCUGCUGCUUGCUUUAUAGACCGGAAGCAGCUCUUCUAGCAGUAGGUCAUGGGGGGCAGGAACUUCUCCUAAUGACCUUCCAGCUUCCAUUUGCAUCCAUCUGUGCUAUGCUCGUUAGGUUUGUUGUUGUCUUGUCAACUUGACAUCAGCUAGUGUCACCUAGAAGAGAGAGAAAGAAAAAAAAAAAACUCAGCUGAAAAAAUGCCUCCAUCAGACUAUCCUAUAGGCAAGUCUGUGGGAAUUUAAGAAAUUAUUUAUUUUUAUGUGUAUGAGUAUUUUCCCUGCAUGUAUAUCCAUGCACCGUGUACAUGCAGCGUUCUCAGAGGCCAGAGGAAGUUGUGUGGGAUCCUCC